CUUAUUUUAAGAUCAGUCACAGAAAGUUAACCAAAAUUGCCUGAUUUCUGAUGUGCAUUAUAUUGUUUCUAUUAAUACAAAUAUCCAGAACCACACAUUCUCUCCUUCAGAAAUUCUCUUUCUUGGAAAAGCAAAAUAAGUGUGACUUUGUGUUAAUGAAUCCCUACUAUAGACUGGCUUGCGAACAGAAUCUCAUCUUUAUGUAAGAAAGCAAUUCCUUGGAAACGCUAUUCUGAAAAUAGUUUGAGGCAAGUGUCUUGUGAAAUCUGGACUGUAUGAAGAAUGCGCCCAUCUUUGCAAGUAACUGAAUGAUUACCCAGCUAAGGAACAACUGGUGUUUAAAGAACUCUACAUUAAAAUUACAGGUAAGGGAUAACUAAGGAUAACUCUGCAUUAUAAUUAGAAAUGCAAUACCAGUCCAUUAAAAAUAAACAAACAAACAAACAAACAAACAAACAAAUAAUAAUCAGAUCAGAACUUGCUAGAUAAGAUGUUUCCAUCAUUUUAUUUUCUCACAUAUGUACUUCUCUGUUUUAUUCAUAAUAUAAAGUACAGAGAAACCCCAAUCAAACCAGAUCAUAUCCUUGGCCAAUCCAAGCCUGUGAGAAUUCCAAAACACCAAGUUACACGUAAACUUACAUAAACUUACCAAGAUUUAUAAUCCACUUUUUGAAAAAUCUGUAGUUCAUUUUCAUUUUCAAUUGCACCAUUUAAAGUAUAAUUUUUUUUCAUUAUUAUUUUAAGUAAUGGUUAACAAAUGACAUUUCUAGUAGCUUUGGAUAGUGAAUAAGAGAAGUAAACUAGGUAUAUUGAUAUCAAUGAGUGUCUUUCUCUUUCCUUUACUUUCAUCAUGG
ensembl:lncRNA